GAUGAACGCUGGCAGCGUGCUUAACACAUGCAAGUCGAACGAAGCGUAUUCAAGUGAAGUUUUCGGACAAAGCGAGGAUAUGACUUAGUGGCGGACGGGUGAGUAACGCGUGGGCAACCUGCCUUUCACAGCGGGAUAACAGAGGGAAGCUUCUGCUAAUACCGCAUAUACCUUUUUAACGCAUGUUAGGGAGGGGAAAGAGCUAUCGGUGAGAGAUGGGCCCGCGUCCGAUUAGAUAGUUGGUGGGGUAACAGCCCACCAAGUCGACGAUCGGUAGCCGGCUUGAGAGAGUGAACGGCCACAUUGGGACUGAGACACGGCCCAAACUCCUACGGGAGGCAGCAGUGGGGGAUAUUGGACAAUGGGGGCAACCCUGAUCCAGCGACGCCGCGUGAGUGAAGAAGUAUUUCGGUACGUAAAGCUCUAUCAGCAGGGAAGAAAGAAGACGGUACCUGACUAAGAAGCCCCGGCUAACUACGUGCCAGCAGCCGCGGUAAUACGUAGGGGGCAAGCGUUAUCCGGAAUUACUGGGUGUAAAGGGAGCGUAGACGGUUAAACAAGUCUGAAGUGAAAUGCCGGGGCUCAACCCCGGAGCUGCUUUGGAAACUGUAGAACUGGAGUGUCGGAGGGGUAAGCGGAAUUCCCAGUGUAGCGGUGAAAUGCGUAGAUAUUGGGAGGAACACCGGCGGCGAAGGCGGCUUACUGGACGACAACUGACGUUGAGGCUCGAAGGCGUGGGUAGCAAACAGG
rnacentral:rRNA from 1 species